UACGUAGGGGGCUAGCGUUGUCCGGAAUCAUUGGGCGUAAAGAGCGCGUAGGCGGCCCUGUAAGUCCGCUGUGAAAGUCCAGGGCUCAACCCUGGAAUGCCGGUGGAUACUGUCGGGCUGGAGUCCGGAAGAGGCGAGUGGAAUCCUGGUGUAGCGGUGAAAUGCGCAGAUAUCCGGAGGAACACCAAUGGCGAAGGCAGCUCGCUGGGACGGUACUGACACUGAGACGCGAAAGCGUGGGGAGCAAAC
rnacentral:rRNA from 1 species